GGAAGUGUGCCCGAGAACAGGGACUACUUUGAUAGAGUAAUUACAGAGCAACAAACCUCUCUCUUCC
rnacentral:tRNA from 1 species